rnacentral:rRNA from 1 species
GCACUGAAUCCCCAAAGGCCUAGCCUUGAGGGAGAUGUGGUGUUUUGGAGUGCCCGAUCAACCCGGGGAGCGUGAACCGAGUCCAAGUCCAUCUUGAACGGGGCCAAGGUCCGUAGAGGGUGCCAGGCCCGUAGACGACCGGUGCCGCUCCCGGGUGGGCUCCUCCUUAGAGUCGGGCUGCUUGAGAGUGCAGCCCUAAGCGGGUGGUAAACUCCAUCUAAGGCUAAAUACAACCACGAGACCGAUAGAGAACAAGUACCGUGAGGGAAAGUUGAAAAGAACUUUGAAGAGAGAGUUCAAGAGUACGUGAAACCGCUCAGGGGUAAACGGAAAAGACCCGAAAUACCGAAGAGGGAGAUUCACGUCUUUCCGCGUGCACCGACUUCCGUUUGGAGGGAUGGUCUCACUUGCCGUCCGGUUCGUCCGUGGCGGUGAGUAGGCUGCCCUCUGCGGGAGUUUUUCGGUCUCGCGGGGGACCGCACUUCUCCCUUAGUAGGACGUCGCGACCCGCUCUGCGGCGGUCUAACGGCCAGUGGAGAGCCUGGGUGAGGCCCUCUCUUCGGGGAGGCUUCUCGCCCAGCUCCCUGGACCCGCGGCCGUCGGUCCGGGCGGUAUGAACGACAGCGUUGGACCGCUCCCUUAGGGAAGCGCUCUUGUCUCUCUGCAAGCUCGGGUGUUGGGCUGUCGAGUCGUACUCACUAUGGGUACGCUCGGCGCCUCCUCGGACUGUUGGCGGAUGAGUACUCGGGCCGUUGUCCAUCACGUUUGUCGGCGGCGCUUCAGAUUCGGGCACUUAUCCGACCCGUCUUGAAACACGGACCAAGGAGUCUAGCGUGCGCGCGAGUCAUUGGGUGGAAAACCCAAAGGCGUAAUGAAAGUGUCAGGGGGUGCUCAUGCACCUCUAGUGGGAGGAUGAGCCCUCGGUCUUACGGCCGGAGCUCCGCACUCCCGGGGCGUCUCAUUCUCGUUUCGAGUCGAGACGCACCAGGAGCGCACACGCUGUGACCCGAAAGAUGGUGAACUAUGCCUGGCCAGGACGAAGCCAGGGGAAACCCUGGUGGAGGUCCGAAGCGAUUCUGACGUGCAAAUCGAUCGUCUGAGCUGGGUAUAGGGGCGAAAGACCAAUCGAACCAUCUAGUAGCUGGUUCCCUCUGAAGUUUCCCUCAGGAUAGCUGGCUCUCAGGACAGAGACGAGUCUCAUCCGGUAGAGCGAAUGAUUAGAGGUGAUGGGGUCGAAACGACUUCAACCUAUUCUCAAACUCCCAAUAGAUGAGAGCCCCGGCUUGCUUGAAAGUGAAGCCGUGGGACUCGGAUCAGAGAGGCCAAGUGGGCCAAUUUUGGUAAGCAGAACUGGCGCUGUGGGAUGAACCAAACGCGGAGUUAAGGCGCCUGAUUCGACGCUCAUCUGAAACCAUGAAAGGUGUUGGUUGCUUAAGACAGCAGGACGGUGGCCAUGGAAGUCGGAAUCCGCUAAGGAGUGUGUAACAACUCACCUGCCGAAGCAACUAGCCCUGAAAAUGGAUGGCGCUGUAGCGUCGUGCCUAUACUCCGCCGUCAAAGGCAAAGCAGGUGAAUCACUUGUGAGUCGCUGUUACGCCUUGACGAGUAAGAGGGUCGCGGCGGUGAGCGCGGAAGGGUCUGGGCGUGAGCCCGCCUGGAGCCGCCGCCGGUGCAGAUCUUGGUGGUAGUAGCAAAUACUCCAGCGAGGCCCUGGAGGACUGAUGUGGAGAAGGGUUUCUUGUGAACAGCUGUUGCACAAGAGUCAGUCGAUCCUAAGCCCUAGGAGAAAUCCGAAGCGAUGGCCUGCCGUUAACACUCACUAGCUCACGCGUGUCAACUGUGUCGGUGUUUUUGGGGUGGGGGAUGGGGUUGUGUGGUUGUUGCUGCUGCUGUGUCGUGUCUACUCCUUAAUUGGGGUAGACACCACGCACACAACACCCCACUCUGUUCUUUCCACUCACAAAAUGCACAGUUGGUCACAUGGCAAAGAGAAGUCGGCACCGUCUGGGCGAAAGGGAAUCCGGUUCCUAUUCCGGAACCCGGCCGCGGAACCGCUCCAAUUCGGGCCCUCAUCCGAGGACUCGUCGGGGUGACCCAAUAUGACCCGGAGAAGCCGUAGGGAGGUCCGGGGAGAGUUGUCUCUUCUCUAUAAGCGUUCGAGUUCCCUGGAAUCCUCUAGGAGGGAGAUAGGGUUUGGAACGCGAAGAGCACCGCACUUACGGCGGUGUCCGGAUCUUCCCCUCGGACCUUGAAAAUCCGGGCGAGGGCCACGAGGAACACCGCGCCGGCUCGUACCCAUAUCCGCAGCAGGUCUCCAAGGUGAAUAGCCUCUAGUCGAUAGACUAAUGUAGGUAAGGGAAGUCGGCAAACCCGAUCUGUAACUUCGGGAUAAGGAUUGGCUCUGAGGAUCGUGGCGCGCCGGGCUUGGUCGGGAAGUGGAGCGGUGCCAACGUGCCGGGCCUGGGCGAGGGGAUAAGAGUGUCGGGGGAGUUGAAAGACU